GUGCUCACUUUGGCAGCACAUAUACUAAAAUUGGAACGAUACAGAAAAGAUUAGCAAUACGCAAUGAACUUACAGAAUUCUACCUAUCUCCU
ensembl:snRNA U6 U6 spliceosomal RNA